rnacentral:rRNA from 1 species
UACGUAGGGGGCAAGCGUUUGUCCGGAAUCAUUGGGCGUAAAGCGCGCGUAGGCGGCCCGGUAAGUCCGUUGUGAAAGUCAAAGGCUCAACCUUUGAACGCCGAUGGAUACUGCCGGGCUAGAGUCCGGAAGAGGAGAGUGGAAUUCCUGGUGUAGCGGUGAAAUGCGCAGAUAUCAGGAAGAACACCAAUGGCGAAGGCAGCUCUCUGGGACGGUACUGACGGCUGAGACGCGAAAGCGUGGGGAGCGAAGCAGG